AACGAACGCUGGCGGCAGGCUUAACACAUGCAAGUCGAGCGCCCCGCAAGGGGAGCGGCAGACGGGUGAGUAACGCGUGGGAACGUACCCUUUGCUACGGAAUAGCUCCGGGAAACUGGAAUUAAUACCGUAUGUGCCCUACGGGGGAAAGAUUUAUCGGCAAAGGAUCGGCCCGCGUUGGAUUAGCUAGUUGGUGGGGUAAUGGCCUACCAAGGCGACGAUCCAUAGCUGGUCUGAGAGGAUGAUCAGCCACAUUGGGACUGAGACACGGCCCAAACUCCUACGGGAGGCAGCAGUGGGGAAUAUUGGACAAUGGGCGCAAGCCUGAUCCAGCCAUGCCGCGUGAGUGAUGAAGGCCUUAGGGUUGUAAAGCUCUUUCCUCAAGGAAGAUAAUGACGGUACUUGAGGAGGAAGCCCCGGCUAACUACGUGCCAGCCGCCGCCGUAACAC
rnacentral:rRNA from 1 species